rnacentral:rRNA from 1 species
CCUACGGGGUGCAGCAGUGGGGAAUAUUGGACAAUGGGCGAAAGCCUGAUCCAGCCAUGCCGCGUGUGUGAAGAAGGCCUUCGGGUUGUAAAGCACUUUCAGUGGGGAAGAAAGCCUUGGGGCUAAUACCCUCGAGGAAGGACAUCACCCACAGAAGAAGCACCGGCUAACUCCGUGCCAGCAGCCGCGGUAAUACGGAGGGUGCGAGCGUUAAUCGGAAUUACUGGGCGUAAAGCGCGCGUAGGCGGUCUGAUAAGCCGGUUGUGAAAGCCCCGGGCUCAACCUGGGAACGGCAUCCGGAACUGUCAGGCUAGAGUGCAGGAGAGGAAGGUAGAAUUCCCGGUGUAGCGGUGAAAUGCGUAGAGAUCGGGAGGAAUACCAGUGGCGAAGGCGGCCUUCUGGACUGACACUGACGCUGAGGUGCAAAAGCGUGGGUAGCAAACAGGAUUAGAUACCCGUGUAGUC